AAAGUCAGGGGUCUAUAAAUUGACAGUGAUUAGAGUAAUACUUUUUCACAUUUCCAAAGUUUGCAUGUUAACUUUAAAUGCUUACAAUCUUAGAGUGGUAGGCAAUGUUUUACACUAUUGACCUUAUAUAGGGAAGGGAGGGGGUGCCUGUGGGGUUUUAAAGAAUUUUCCUUUGCAGAGGCAUUUCAUCCUUCAUGAAGCCAUUCAGGAUUUUGAAUUGCAUAUGAGUGCUUGGCUCUUCCUUCUGUUCUAACUUCACAGAGAAUGCAGUUGUCUUGACUUCAGGUCUGUCUGUUCUGUUGGCAAGUAAAUGCAGUACUGUUCUGAUCCCGCUGCUAUUAGAAUGCAUUGUGAAACGACUGGAGUAUGAUUAAAAGUUGUGUUCCCCAAUGCUUGGAGUAGUGAUUGUUGAAGGAAAAAAUCCAGCUGAGUGAUAAAGGCUGAGUGUUGAGGAAAUUUCUGCAGUUUUAAGCAGUCGUAUUUGUGAUUGAAGCUGAGUACAUUUUGCUGGUGUAUUUUUAGGUAAAAUGCUUUUUGUUCAUUUCUGGUGGUGGGAGGGGACUGAAGCCUUUAGUCUUUUCCAGAUGCAACCUUAAAAUCAGUGACAAGAAACAUUCCAAACAAGCAACAGUCUUCAAGAAAUUAAACUGGCAAGUGGAAAUGUUUAAACAGUUCAGUGAUCUUUAGUGCAUUGUUUAUGUGUGGGUUUCUCUCUCCCCUCCCUUGGUCUUAAUUCUUACAUGCAGGAACACUCAGCAGACACACGUAUGCGAAGGGCCAGAGAAGCCAGACCCAGUAAGAAAAAAUAGCCUAUUUACUUUAAAUAAACCAAACAUUCCAUUUUAAAUGUGGGGAUUGGGAACCACUAGUUCUUUCAGAUGGUAUUCUUCAGACUAUAGAAGGAGCUUCCAGUUGAAUUCACCAGUGGACAAAAUGAGGAAAACAGGUGAACAAGCUUUUUCUGUAUUUACAUACAAAGUCAGAUCAGUUAUGGGACAAUAGUAUUGAAUAGAUUUCAGCUUUAUGCUGGAGUAACUGGCAUGUGAGCAAACUGUGUUGGCGUGGGGGUGGAGGGGUGAGGUGGGCGCUAAGCCUUUUUUUAAGAUUUUUCAGGUACCCCUCACUAAAGGCACCGAAGGCUUAAAGUAGGACAACCAUGGAGCCUUCCUGUGGCAGGAGAGACAACAAAGCGCUAUUAUCCUAAGACCCUUCACCCCUCACCUCGAUGCAGCCAGUAGCUUGGAUCCUUGUGGGCAUGAUCCAUAAUCGGUUUCAAGGUAAUAGCCUGCAGCUGGUGUUUUGAGAAGCCCUACUGCUGAAAACUUAACAAUUUUGUGUAAUAAAAAUGGAGAAGCUCUAAA
rnacentral:lncRNA from 1 species